AUGCUGAAACUCCACUGUGCUAAUUCUUCCUCUUCUGUCUCUGACCCACAGCCCUUGGGUUUCCACCAGCUUGCUGGAAAGAUGCACUUCUGCAAAUACUCAACCAGACCUAAAUUAAAUUGAGUUAUGGCAGAAGGGAAAGUGGGGUGUUAAAAAGAAAUUGGACAAUUAAGAAAGGUGGCAUGGUGAGCUUAUUCUAGCAGAAAAUGAGAGAGAUGAGAUUCUCCUAGCAGUUUCCCUCCUGAAUACAAAACUGCAGGACUUCCCUAUUCUUAAUACUGCAUAAACCGUUCACAGGAAAUAUUCCCACAAGGUAAAUGUAAUCUUUGUUUAAGCAAAAUUUACAGUCAAGCUUUCACAGCCUUCCCUCUCUUGGUUAUCAGAGCAUCUUUAUUUACUACAUGGAACAUACUAAUUAAGAGUGUGAUGUUUUAUUGCUCAAAUCCUCUCCAAGACAUCCUCCAUAGGCUUUGUCUGUAAUUGUGCCAUUUACUUCCUACAGUGCAUUGCAACCCUGGAAAUGUACAGGAACAGUGUGUGUGCAGAAUACAAUGGACACUUUGUACAGCACAGCUAAUCCUUUGGGUUACAAGCAGUGAGCUCCAGGGUUGGGAAAGGCCCCCUUGGAACUCUGUAUCCUUGCCCCAUGGUUCACUCAGAUUAAGAAUGCUUUUUGUGUUUUUAAUUAUGUCAUUCACUACUUACAUAAAGUCCUUCUAGUAAUCUCAACAAAAGAUGGUGCAUUGUCCAUAACAUAUCUGAUGGAUCUCCUGAAGACAGCUUUGAGAAAUUCAGAGAGGGUUUCCAAACCUAGGAGAGUGUUUGGACUAAAUAUCUCAAAGUGACUCUUUGCUGCUGCUAUGGUCUUUUACGUACUUAGCCUUCUCCUUCCCCGCCCCCUUUGUUUCCUCCCCAUUUGAAUUUAUUUGCCUUAGUUUUUCUUAUUAAACAUUUCUGUUCUCUGGAUGCUCUCUAUUUGAGCUCCAGCUCUACUCCCUGCCUGUGUGAGGACUCUAAGGUCCUACUUCAGAAAAAUACUGUUGAUUCUGGUGGACCUUAAGGACAGAAUUAGGCAGCCCUUGCUGAAUACAGCUCUUUCCAAACCAGAGACACUGGCUGGAACACAGCUUCAAGGAAAAAUCUCGACCUGAGAGGUAAAAAGACAGAAGACUUGGAAAGCAGAACCCCAAUUAAGGUUUCUCACCUGGGCAAUCCCCUAGCCCAAAGAAAAUCUGUUGUUUAGAGAUGAGCUGUAGAGUCAACACUAUCUUUGUGCAGCUACUUCACUUCUGUGGGUUCUGCGAGCUCCAGCUAGAAGGUACAGGCAGGACUAACUGCAGAGAUGCUGUGGCUUCUGCUGCAGGUGUUCAGCAGCAGGAAGACAAGAGAGGGCUUGAGAAGAGCUAAUCACAGUUGCACCAAACAUGCUAAGGCUGGUUUCAUUACGGAGGAUCAUCCUCACCAAUUGGAUAAUUUUUGUGUGCUGAGUGGUGGAAGUGUACAAGGUGGUUGCAUGCAUGGUGCUCACAUCUCAUCUGUGCAUGAGCUGUGGGCAGUGGGAAUUGUUCCCUCCUAAUAAAGGCUAAACUGGUGG